UGUACGUCUUUUGCUAUUACCACACAUAGACACAAGAGAAACCAUCAGAGAAGCGAUCCAUCAAGACCAGUUUAAAAUCGGGUAAAAAUUUGUUUUUAAAUUUCGGAUUUUAAUUUGAUGCGCUGUGAGUUGUGUUUGUACCUGUGAUGUGUGCUUAAUUUUCCUACUUUUUCCUCAAAUCUCUUGAACUAAAUCAAUUAACCCAAAGAAGAAUCGGAAAUUCUCGAGCUAAGGUUUUGAUUGAUGAAUUUGGGAAAUUUUAUUGUUUUCUAUAUGUUUCUUCUUCUUUUUUAUUUUAAAUUCAUUAAAACAAAGUGAAUUAGUUAUAAAUUUUCGAGUUAAGGUUUCGCUGGAUGAAAUUGGGGAUUUUUUUAUUUUUCGGAGAUGAAUUGAAAUCAAGAAAAUAAAUUUACUUUCUUUACUUGCUUGAAUUUUUGUUUUUACAUCAAAUACCAGUCGCGUAAUUUAUGUGCUGCAUGUAAAGCAUAUAGGAGAGUAGUAAAGACCAAAAUUAUGUUGUAAAAGGAGAAAGAAAUUCAUGUUCACACUUAAACGAAAAAAGUGUGUAUCAAAAUAUCUUUGAAGAAGUUGUAAUCGUAUUUGUUGUAAUUGUGUGAAGAGUCUUUUCCAAAAGGCAUGAUUAAGUUGUAACCAUAUGAAUCUAUUCAGCCACAUCUUUUAGAAAAGAAAUUCUUAAGGAAAAAAUAAGGGAAAAGAGAGAUAAUUUACUUAGUGUGAUGAUUUACCUUAUAAACAUGCAGUUUUUGAAAUGUUUCAAUAGGCCACUAAAAGAGUAAAAGUAGAUCCUCUAAGACCUUUAUAUGUUAGUAGUACUUCAAAGUUCUAUGUUUACGGUCUAUCAAGAAUUCCAACCAUGGCAAAAUGAUUAUACUUAUCAAAACAGAACACCAGCAUGGACACUCCAUUUUAAUGACAGAAAGGUGUUUCUUUUCUUUUAUCCUUAACUAAAUGUUCUAGAUUCGAAUUUUAGGAAUAGAGAAAUUCUUGGUAGCGAACCUUCUCUCUUUAAUUGGCUCUACGAGGCUACGAGAAUGAAAGGAUGUAUUUAAUUGGACAUAUGUAAUGCGGAUUUACAUUAGUCGAGCAGCAAUAACCAAUUUAUAAUAAUAUCUAAAGAGAGUUAAGAUACACUAAUAUUAGAUAGCUUAUAUAAGUUAAAUUGCAACAAGUAGGUGGUACAGUCGGUGAGGAUUGUCUUUGUCAUUGCUAAUUGAAUCAAUACAUCAUGCAUGUUUGUUAUUAAUGGCCAACUACAUUGUGGGAUUGUAGUUGUGCAGUUGGAAGACAGUAUUGCGUUCAAUUCGAAAGGCAUGGUUUUCACUUUUCAGUAUGUUUUUUCAUAGGAUAGCUUCCAACAGAACUUCUCUCCAUUAACAGAUAAUAAAAGUCUUUAGAUAUAAACAAGUUAUUGCUUUGUUCUAAUUCUCCGUCACAUGUAUUAGCAAAAGGAGAAAAUAAAUGAAUGCGUGAAUGAGAACCGAUUUGCCUUCCCUUUUUUCUCUCGCUAUUCACUCUGGCCUCCUCCAUAUUUCUUCCUUUUCUAAUCUCUAUUUCUUUCCUGACCGCAUGCUUCUUGAGCUUUUAGGGGUCUUUUUUUUCCUCUGUUUAUCUAAGUUGCUUGUGCUUUGAUGUGAUUCUUGCUGCAUAUUGUAGGAAAAUGUAAAUUAAUGGAAUUAGCUUUGCAGCGUGACUUACUAGCUAUCUAUCUUUGAUAUUUCUUUUUUAAUUUAGGGGCUUUACAUUUUUCAAUUUGGGACAGGUUUUAAAUUUUUUUGGAUUGAUAUAAAUUAAAGGAACUAUAUUUGUGAUUUGCAUCUAUCUAUCUAUCUAUCUCUGAACAUCCGAGAAAAAACAGUACAGCUGCAAAAGCAGGCAAUGAUCCUUUUUGAGUUGAAAUUUGACUUUGGUCUUAAGUCUUUAGGCUCCAUUAUUGCCUAUUCCAGUUUUUCUUCAAGUUUCUUCUUCACUCUGGUGAUUAGCUUUUACUUGACUUGUACAUUAUUUCCUUUUCUCUUUCAUUUCGGGGUCUAUCAUAUAUGUGAAUUUUGAGGAGUUUCUUGGUGAUAGGAUUUUGAUGAUAUGUGUUAGGUUUUUGCAGUUUCCUUCUUUGUGCUUUUGAGCUCUGUUCUAUUUGAGACUUUGAUAGUUGUUUUUCUUCUUAUUUUGGACUAUUUUGAUGGUUUUGCGAAAUUGAUGAAGGGUUCUUGUGAUUACUUUGCCUUAAUUGUUUUGGGAUGACUAUAUCAUAUGGCACCUUCAUGCUUCAUAUAUUUCCCUGAAAUUGUAUGUCGUAUGUUCGACCAAUUGGUUGAAUGACAUUGGACUAUUGGAGCCUAUUAAGGCUCCAAUGCACACUGAACGUGUAGAAGUGCAAUUUUUAGCUUUGAUAAUUGAUAAAUAUUCUGAGCUCUAAGAUAAAUAAGGAAAAUGAGUUGUGUUUGAGGGAUAUGACGCAAAGGUUUGUCAUAUCUUUGUUCCCUGAUUAUACAUGUAAAAACAUUGCACCUUGAUCUUUCAUUGUGUUGUUUCAUUAUCCUAUUUUUUCUAUCUUCAUCCUUGUAUCUGCAGAUGAAAGUAUAAUUUAAAAUUAUGUAUCUUUUUAAUCUGAAUUAUCAAUAUUAUCCAAAAAGUUAUUUUAAAACAUAAAAUUGUGCUAACAAGCUUCAGAAAUGGUAUACUAAGUACUUGUAGUGCCAAAAUGAUCAAAAUGAUCCAUCUGUUUUAGGAUGUUUUAGGAUUUCUUGCAAUUCUGUAUAUCAAUUAGAAUAGCUUUAUUAAAAAUAAUUCCAAAUAUCUUUUAGUAGUUAAUUUGCCAUGUCAAGCCUUUAAAGUUUUGAUAAUUUAAGAUUCUAUUAUUUUUGGUUUCAUACAGGCCUAUAUAUCUUUAGUAAAUUUACAAUAUCAAGACUUUCAAGUUUUGAGCUUUUUAUUUGAGCUAGAUAUGCUUUCAUUGUUUGCCGAUCUGUUCCUAUAAACAUUUUUAGUAGUUUAACUAGAUAUUUGUUGAUGCAUUGUUGCAAAGGUUAAAUAGGACAGAGCAGAACAUGAUUUGAAAAUUUUGUCUCUUUAUCAGAAUACGAUUCUCUCUCCAUGUACUGAAGAAAGAGUUGUAUCAGAUCAAAAAGCUAUAUUACUCGCCUUUGUUGAUCAAAUACAAGAGUUCUGUGUCUUAGCUUCUUGUUCCAGUUAGUCUUUCACAUGACCGAUAGCUACUCUAUCAUUGCUCGCACUUCGUUAUGGAUUGAAAUAAGUGGUAAGUAAUUUUUCUCAAUGACUUGUUAUAUUAGUAGUGUUAUCGUCUUUUUAGUACUAUUAUUUUUCUACUGAUGACACCAAUAGAGAUAACAGUGGAUAAAUGUUAUCAAUCUAAAAAAAUGAGAUAACAGUGGAUAAACAAAUAUAGCGCUACACUGCCAGACAAAACUAACUCCUAUUUUUUAUUGAAUUCAUGGCAGCUUUUAAUUGUUACUUUUUUACUUGGGAGUAGAAACUCAAAUCUAUUGUCAAAAAGAACGCCUCUAAUGUUCAUGAACAAAAGAAGCGCACAAAAAUUAAAUAUUAGCUUGACGCAUACUGAUGUAAUUUAUAAUGUUUAUAUGAGAAAUAAAAUGAGAAUGGUUGCACAUAGUUUGAUGUAAUCUAUGAUAUUUAUGUAAAAGAGAUUACAAAAGAGAAUAAUCACACAUAGCUCAAACAUUCUGUUUUCUUUUGUAAAUGAUCUAAAAGUGACAGCUGCCAAGAAAAACUUGUGGCUCUUGAUGCUUUAAAAACAUUAUAGAAAUAUAUGUAACAAC
rnacentral:lncRNA from 1 species